rnacentral:lncRNA from 1 species
CCCUCACCUCCUCCCCCCCUUCCUGCUCUUCUUCCUCCUCCUCUGCUCUCUCCAAGCGGUCUCCUCCCAAUGUCACCAGGGCCGAAUAGCGGCGGCGGUAGCAGCGACAGUCGCGCAACUGGCGCAGCUUGUUUCACUCCUAGUAUUAGGAGUGGAGUUAGUGCCCCGGCCACCCAGCCCGAAAUGACCAAAACACGCCUGCUCUGUGUGCUGACACCCUGCACCCGGACCCGCUGCUGGGCCCUCUGCGAGCGGGGACAGCCUCCCUGCCCCGGCUGCAGGAGGCGCAGCUGCCGAGCAAUGGGGCAGAGGUCAAAGGUGAUUCCAAGUAGUUAACUUGCUGUCUGAACCAAUAAAACCAAGCCAGGAUCUGCAGAUUGGAGUGACACCCUCCU